rnacentral:rRNA from 1 species
AGGUAGCAUAAUAAAUUGUCUUUUAAUUGAAGAAUUGUAUGAAAGAAUUAAUGAAAUAAUAACUGUCUCUAAAUUAUUAAAUGAAUUUAAAUUUUUAGUUAAAAUUCUAAAAUUUAAUUAUGGGACGAUAAGACCCUAUAGAAUUUAAUUUAAUUUUUAAAUUUAUUUAUAAUUUUAAUAAAUAUAUUUAAGAUUAAAUUUGAUUGGGAGGAUUGGUAAAUUUAAUAAACUUUAUUUAAGAUUUAAUUUUGAUAUAAAGAUAAUUUUUUGAAUUAUAAAUUGUAAUUAAAAGAAUAAAUUACCUUAGGGAUAACAGCGUAAUAUCUUUUGAUAGACCAUAUAGAUAAAGAUGUUUGCGACCUCGAUGUUGGAUUAAGA